UACAGAGGGUGCGAGCGUUAAUCGGAAUUACUGGGCGUAAAGCGCGCGUAGGCGGCUUUGCAAGUCGGGUGUGAAAUCCCCAGGCUUAACCUGGGAACUGCAUUCGAGACUGCAUUGCUAGAGUAUGGGAGAGGGAAGUGGAAUUUCCGGUGUAGCGGUGAAAUGCGUAGAUAUCGGAAGGAACAUCAGUGGCGAAAGCGACUUCCUGGACCGAUACUGACGCUGAGGAGCGAAAGCGUGGGGAGCGAACAGG
rnacentral:rRNA from 1 species